CCUACGGGAGGCAGCAGUGAGGAAUAUUGGUCAAUGGUCGGGAGACUGAACCAGCCAAGCCGCGUGAGGGAUGAAGGUACAGAGUAUCGUAAACCUCUUUUGUCAGGGAACAAAGGCGGGGACGUGUCCCCGGAUGAGUGUACCUGAAGAAAAAGCAUCGGCUAACUCCGUGCCAGCAGCCGCGGUAAUACGGAGGAUGCGAGCGUUAUCCGGAUUUAUUGGGUUUAAAGGGUGCGCGGGCGGUCUGUUAAGUCAGCGGUAAAAGCCGGGGGCUCAACCCCGGCCCGCCGUUGAAACUGGCAGUCUCGAGUUGGAGAGAGGUAUGCGGAAUGCGCGGUGUAGCGGUGAAAUGCAUAGAUAUCGCGCAGAACUCCGAUUGCGAAGGCAGCAUGCCGGCUCCACACUGACGCUGAGGAACGAAAGCGUGGGUAUCGAACAGGAUUAGAUACCCCUGUAGUC
rnacentral:rRNA from 1 species